GAGAAAUCUAGGCUAAUUCCCGAUAGUCCGGAAACGGUAAAGAUUUUUCGGUAAAGGAUGAGUCUGCGUCCUAUCAGCUAGUUGGUGAGGUAAUGGCCCACCAAGGCAAUGACGGGUAGGCGGAGUGAGAGCUUGACCGCCAACAAUGGCACUGGAACAUGGGCCAUACUCCUACGGGAGGCAGCAGUCGAGAAUAUUUGACAAUGGGCGAAAGCCUGAUCAAGCGACGUCGCGUGUGGGAUUAAGAUCUUCGGAUUGUAAACCACUUUUCUAGGGGAAGAACUUUGACUGUACCCUAGGAAUAAGGGGUGACUAAACUCGUGCCAGCAGUAGCGGUAAUACGAGUGCCCCAAGCGUUAUCCGGAUUUAUUGGGCGUAAAGGGUCUGUAGGUGGUUUGUUAAGUUUCUCGUUAAAGCUCCAGGGCUUAACCUUGGAAAAGCGGGAAAAACUGGCAAACUAGAGGAUGUUAGAGGCUGAUGGAACACUUGGUGAAGGGGUGGAAUCCGUUGAUAUCAAGUGGAACACCGAAAGCGAAAGCAAUCAGCUGGGACAGUCCUGACACUGAAAGACGAAAGCGUGGGGAGAGAAAAGGAUUAGAUACCCUUGUAUUCCACGCCUUAAACGAUGAAUACUAGCUAUUGCAAGUGUCGACCCUUGCAGUGGCGAAGCUAACGCGUUAAGUAUUCCGCCUGGGAAGUACGGCCGCAAGG
rnacentral:rRNA from 1 species